AUGGCCUCGGUUCAGCCACCCCCUCCACCCCCUCCACCUUCUCCACCUGUCACUUUGUCUUCUGAAAAGCAGCGUUCUCUACUUUCACCGUGCCCCCAGCAUGCUGCAAUACCAAUACUUCCUGAAUAUCCUCCAGUUCAGGAGACAAGUGGAUCAUCACAGGCAAAUGUCUCAGAGAAUGGAUCAUCUCCACCCAUGCAAAAUGGAUUACAGUUUCCACCAUCGCAAGACAGUACAGGGCCUGAGCUGUCAGAUGGUGAUGAAGAAAAGAAACACCUCCCAGUGCAGGAAACAGACCCUGCACCGCAGACGUUAGCCCAACAGACUUCUGGAUCCAGGAUGCCCGAUGAAGCUGACGCUCAGGCAGGUGAGAAUGGAGAGGAGCCCAUGCCCUGAGGAGCUUCAGUUACUUGCGGAUACUUGAAAUUUCAAGCAGUUGGGAUCAUUUGAAUAUCAUUAUAUUGCAGCAAAUUUCUACUUUGUGUUUUUAGUUUUAGCUGUGCUCUACGAAGCGCUUUGCUAUGUGUUUCUCAUUCAGUCACAAAAACGUGUACGUCAUGAAGUUUAUGCCUUGCUUAUGGAAUUUGCACAUAGUUGAACUACUAACCCUGCUAUUAGAGACAAUCCACUUACCUACCUUAGCCACUCCUGAACAAGCCAAAGUACAUUAAAAUCAUUAAAGUACCUCGGUGACCUUGACCUCAAGGUCAGAGGUCAAGUUUUCUGAAAAUCUCGUGAAUAUAAUAACCCAAGAAAAAAGUCAUUAUUUUCAAAUUUAUACUAUAGGUGCAUCUACUAGGAGGCUGAGGGUAGCAUUAGUGGCCAUAAGUAUUUUUUCCAUUAUUUUUUAUUUAUUGAAUUUGAGGAAAGAAAACGUGAAACUUUUUCCCCAGUUUACAUUUCACAGGCAGGGAUUUAUUAUUGGUUGAAGUAAGGAAGAUAUUUUGAAACUUGAACAAAUCGAUGCCAAAUCAUAGGACUUUAUGAUGAAUAAUUCUAAAGUCAUUUUAAUUUAUUUAUGAUCUUCAAUCUUAAAUCUUUGAAGUGAUCAAACAGUCAUCUGAUGCCUCAUGCUCUUUGGCACUCUAACCGGUAUUAAGUGCACUAUUGCGCCUUAGAUGGAUGCCAUGUGGGGAAAAGAAAAAAGCCCACCAGCACAUGCACUUUGUCAGAAAUUUUGUAAUGUGGUUCUUGAAUAUACCUCAGUGAUGUUUUAUUUCUGGUUUACUUUAAUUUGUCUUCAACUCUAAUUUCGUAGCUCAUGACUUACCCUUAAACACAGGACCAUACUGCACAUACUUAGUGUGAACACUCAUUUGUAAAAAGUCAUGACCGUGCAGAGUAUUAACCGACAACAAUGUUCUGCUCAAAAAUAGUAUUUAAAAACUCAUUUUGGUCUUCUAAAUAAAUUAUUGUCAUUUCUUUUUAUCUGUUUGUAUCAGUGUGGUUAACGUAAUGUUUAAUGUUUAAUGUGCUUACUGCUGGCUGGACAUGAAUCCUUUCCUGGAGUAUGAGCUCUUAGUUCAGAAUACUUAAGUCAAACUUGCAGCUGCAGUGCUUGAAACCUGUAAAUGUAUCUUUUUAAAAAAAAAAAAAAAAUUAAACACUGCUGAACCAAAUAUUGUCCUUUUUUUUUGUCACUUGCCCAAUUUUUUAAAAAAUGAAACUUUUUCUUGUUUUGAACACUUGCAUUACUGUUUUUGAAGGAAGGCUUGACAGUGUUUGGUGAGUUCCAUAAUGCAGCGGUCCCCAACCCCCGGUCCGUGAGUCGUUUGGUACUGGGCCAGGAGAGUUAAAGCUCGGGUGUGAAAUGUAUGGUUUUCAGGGUUUUCAUCGUUAAUUCGGUUUCCCUGGGUCUUUUCCCGUGUUGUAGUUGUGUCUUAUUUUCAAAGAAAUAUUUACGCAUUACCAUAGCGACCAGAGAGCAUUAAGGGGCAGAGAGGAGGAUGUUACUCUCAAAGUUGUUGGCGCAUUUCAGGAGGACGUUGCUAAUAAAGUUACAAAAUUACAGAGUGAAUUUAUGUUUAUUAUCAUAUUUACAAAAUACCACCGUUUUUUUCUUGGUCGUAUCAUUUUAUUUUGUUGUAUUUAUCCGCGACACCUUAAAGGCCGGUCCGUGAAAAUAUUGUCUGACAUUAAACCGGUCCGUGGCGCAAAAAAAGGUUGGGGACCGCUGCAUUAAUGAAUGCAACAAAGAGCCUGCAGGCCCUGCUAGCAGCUCUGUGAGGCUGCACCACUGCGAAUCACAUUGGGUGAAAUGCAAAUGCUCAGGUCACAAUGCUACCAAUCUGGUUUUUAACAAGUAUAACGUUUAAUAAGUUUCCCAUCUCAUUUUAGAUGGGGACCAGUGCAGUUAAAGUUUUAAAGGUGAUCCAUAUUACCAAUACCAAUAUUCUUUCUUUGCACAUUUUGCACCUCUAUACCAAAGUUUCAAGAAAGUGGCCUGAUGGUGUUUUAAGAGAAAGCAACAGCACUGAUGACAGAAACUGGAGAUAAAAUAACAUAAAUAAAUGUAUAACUUUGUUAUAAAGUAUUUAGUUUGCAAUUAGUUUGACCAAUUCAUUUCAUAACACGACAUGAAAAGUGAUUAAAUAACCAAAUUCAGCAGUUUGCCCUCUGGGCACUGCUGACAUUCCACAUUUGAAUCUGGAACAAAGUGGUGGGGCAUGUAGCCUGAAUGUUUUCACAUUCCCAACACCCUACAAGGAGACAAGUUAUUUUUUUAAGUUUGUAAGUCCAGUUUAGAAAAACUAAGGAUUGAAGUAUAUUAACAGCUGUUCCUGAGGCAGUUCUUUUAUGCAUUAUCCUACAUACUGAAAGAAUGACAUGGCACAGCAAGAUGGUACAGUCAAGAACAUCCUUUUUAUUCAAUCAGGUGCUGCUCUUCUCAAACUGUGUUUUUCUUCUUAUGGAAAAGAAACUGUAAUUAACACAUGCAUUUCACCUAGAGCUCUGGGGGUGUUCUCACAAAGAAGUGGUGCUGCACUGAGGGCAUAGACAGAGGCAUAGAAGACUUGGGAGUGAGGGGGCCAAGGGUGCUGCCUAAUUCACCAUUAAACCAUACACACUUAAGAAGAAAAAGAACUAAAAUAAACAACAGAACAAAGACACGGAUUAAUCCUGCAUGAGGUGGUCGGAGGAGAAAAAUGGAGGGACUCCCUGGAUCCUCAAAAAUCUGAGAGAUCAGGUUCAUGCUGGCCUUUUUCUAUCUGGUUGAUGUGUGGAAAAUGGCUAAUACUGCUGAGGAUUUCGGUGUGUGAAACCCACCUUAAAAAUAGCAAUAAAGAAAAAAAAGAUUCACUUUAUAAGAUUGGUUUAAAUGGAUGUGGUAUUUAUGCUGGAAAAGCGUCGCCCCUCUUUCAGCCUCAUGCACGACAAGUCCGGUUAUAAGGUGCUUGUAGCUUUCAUUUUACAGUCCAAGGCAUACUCAAAGAGAGCCUAAACGACAGCAUACCCUGAUAGCAAAUAUGAAAAGAACUCCAAAUUAAAAAAGGAAACAAAAAAGAGGGAAUAAAACAAAGCCAAAAAAUAAAUACCUUAAAAAAAAGAGCAAACUCUUAUCCUAGCCCAUGCAGCCCCUUUCCAACUUCCCAAAGCAGUUCAUCUAUCCCUCUCAACCCUAUUAAUCUUCCCCUUAAACCUCUUGAACCCAAACCCCUGAACCACUGUCGUCCCUUCCUAACCCACCCAAGGACACCCCCAAAAGCCCGUCAGCGUAAUUUGUUCACUUACAUUAGCUGCUGAAUGGAGAAGCUGAAGAAGAUGGGUAUGGUAAUACAAUGUGAAGCAUACAGACAAGAAUAACAUGUGAGCUAACUGCAUUCUGCUCAGACAAAAGUUUUUCGGCAAUAUUUUUUUUUUCAUCCUCCCAACAGCGGAGAGGGCAGGAGAGAGAGAGAGAGAGAGAAAGAGAGAGAGAGAGAGAGACGGAGAGUGACAGACACACAGUUACAGACUACUCCAGUGUCUAAGAGAAAACAGACAGUGGAGACAGAGGGGAAGAAAAAAGCAAGAGCUGAACGAGAACAAGUUUUUUUGCCUUUUCAAUUUUUUUUCUCAUUUAUCAAUAAAAAGUAAAGAACUAAUUCACACCAGUUUCCUUUUGUACUAUAUAUAUGUGUAUAUAUAUAUAUAGCUUUGAAAAGGAAGAGAGGAUAGAAGGGAAGGAACAAUGGAGGGAAUUCAUUUUCGGAGCCGGAGGAAAGAGGUGCCCCUGAUCGCUGAAUGGGUGGUGACCUUUUGCCUCCUUACAGCACUCAGGGGCAACCUGCUACCUCAAGCUGUUUCAAGGAAAAAAACAAAUGAAAAGAAAAAAAAGGGGCCAUCUUGAUUACAAAAUGGAGUCUGUGAACAAAAGGCACUUUCAAGGGACAACCUUUAACUGCUGGGAAACUAUACACUACAGCACAAGCACUAUAAGAGUCAUUUACAGAGGAGGGGGUGGAACAGGG
ensembl:lncRNA